rnacentral:rRNA from 1 species
AGAACGAACGCUGGCGGCAUGCCUAACACAUGCAAGUCGAACGCUCACCGGGCUUCGGUUCGGUGGGAGUGGCGCACGGGUGAGUAGCGCGUGGGAACCUGCCCUGUUGUGGGGGAUAACCGAGGGAAACUUCGGCUAAUACCGCAUGCGCCCGGGGAAACCCGGGGAAAGAUUUAUCGCAGCAGGAGGGGCCCGCGUCGGAUUAGGUAGUUGGUAGGGUAACGGCCUACCAAGCCUUUGAUCCGUAGCUGGUCUGAGAGGAUGAUCAGCCACACUGGGACUGAGACACGGCCCAGACUCCUACGGGAGGCAGCAGUGGGGAAUAUUGGACAAUGGGCGCAAGCCUGAUCCAGCAAUGCCGCGUGAGUGAUGACGGCCUUAGGGUUGUAAAGCUCUUUCGCUCGGGACGAUAAUGACGGUACCGAGAUAAGAAGCCCCGGCUAACUUCGUGCCAGCAGCCGC